UACUCCCUCUUGCUGCUUUCCUAAUACAUGCAAGUCGAACGCAGUGGGGACGGGUGAGUAACACGUGGGUAACCUCCCAUCAGAGGGGAUAACACUUGGAAACAGGUGCUAAACCGAUACUGAUGGAUGGACCCGCGGUGCAUUCGCUAGUUGGUGAGGUAACGGCUCACCAAGGCCACGAGGCAUAGCCGACCUGAGAGGGUGAUCGGCCACACUGGGACUGAGACACGGCCCAGACUCCUACGGGAGGCAGCAGUAGGGAAUCUUCGGCAAUGGACGAAAGUCUGACCGAGCAACGCCGCGUGAGUGAAGAAGGUUUUCGGAUCGUAAAACUCUGUUGUUAGAGAAGCGGUAUCUAACCAGAAAGCCACGGCUAACUACGUGCCAGACGCCGAGGUAAUAC
rnacentral:rRNA from 1 species